AACAAGACGGAAGAGAGUCACUCUUACCGUCGUGCAUACCUUAAGCGGGUCUGCCGCCUUCGUUUCUCUUUCUUCGCGAAUGACUAACCUCCCUUUGGCUCUGCCCACAAGGCGUGCCUUGCCGGUGCAAAUGGUGCCAGCAGGGUUCGGUUUAGGGCUUGUAGCUCAGUUGGUUAGAGCGCGCGCUUGAUAAGCGUGAGGUCGGAGGUUCAAGUCCUCCCAGGCCCACCAUUUCCUCGACAAAAGGUAUCAGGGGCCGUAGCUCAGCUGGGAGAGCGCCUGCUUUGCAAGCAGGAUGUCGUCGGUUCGAUCCCGUCCGGCUCCACCAUCUUUCUUCCCUAGGGAGGAGAGGGUGUCGAGUGGAUGUGAAACCGGUUGCAAGGUCAUUCGUUAUAAAGUUUGCGGCGAGCCUCUGGCUCUCCGCCUGUUCUGUAUGACAUCGUAAAGAGAAGAUUUGUUCGAACUUCAUGUCCCAAAAGGAUGUGAUUUGUCGCGGGAGACGCUCAAUCUCCCGCAUAUGAUGGGUUUGCCUAACCGCACCCUCGAACCGAUCUCGAGAAGCUGGUCUUUUUGUG
rnacentral:tRNA from 1 species